AGAGUCGAUCGGACAGUCGCUGUUGCAUUACUUCGGUAAUGCGAGGGAGGAAAGUCCGGGCUCCGUAGGGCGAAGUGCCAGGUAACUCCUGGGAGGCGUGAGCCUAUGGAAAGUGCCGCAGAAAAUAACCGCCUAAGCACGCAAGUGCCGGUAAGGGUGAAAAGGUGCGGU
rnacentral:RNase_P_RNA from 1 species